AGCAAACAGGACUAUUCCUUUAAAAGAAAAAGGAAUAUUCCCAAGGAAAAGAAUAUUGGGUUUGGCUGAAGAUGGAAAUGACAAGGUCUUGGGAUGGUUUGGAGGUUGGCAAGCCACUAGGGAAGAGGAAUCAAGGGUGAUCCCCUUCAGGUUUCAAAACUAUUAAGCCACAGAAAAGCAAAACCGGACCAAAAUCAAAGAAAAAAGAAAUGGGAAAAA
rnacentral:lncRNA from 1 species